rnacentral:lncRNA from 1 species
CAACCUCUGCAAUAUAAAGAUGAACAAUUGCAUAGCGUUAGUACCAAGUAAAAGCUACCAGCAUCUGCAAUUCGAUUACCGAGUUGUGAAAUUACCAAUAUCCCUUUUUGACGAUUUGAUCUUGCGUGUUCUUCUCCUGAUGUGGCAGUAGAUGACAACAAACCCGAUGAUCACCGCCGCGACGAGGCACCCAAGCAGUACUUCAUAUCCUGCAUACUCUCAGAAGGCAAUGAAUUUCAAGGCACGGGUAGAAAGGAAGGGGAAAAGGCAGGUAAGGUAGACAUACCUGUAUGCAUCUAGCUGUGGAACGUCUGGGAAGAACACAAGGUUGCCUUUUCUUUCACUGUGAAGGUUCCAACCGAACCAAAUUAAUAUCAUGGCCACUCGCUAACCAGUCGUUAUUAGCAAUGAUGAAUAGCCGUUGCCGGCCAAGGGCUAGAACGGAAGAAGCCAAAGCACGGAAAAAUAUUGGAUCAAGGAAUCGGGCCGGGUCCGUACCAGAAUACAGCAUCAACUGAGUUCUCAUGUUACGUCACUGGUUUACAUAAUCUAAUCGAUUUUGUCAUAUUCUUGUGGCGUUUCUUGCUCUGUCAUACCAAGUUAGUUAGUAUCUUCGGCUGUGGAAAAUAUAUCUUGAAUAUUUGGAUUGCUUCUUUGCUAAUGGGUCGUUGCGAUGGCGGAGAUCCGAUAGUGGUUCGGGCAUAGCAGAGCCCCCAUCCUUGGUCCCAACCUGAGAAGCAGACAAAUGUGUCAACUCUAUGCAAAGCGGAAUUAGAUACUAUAUGAGCUAAAACAAUAUUCUACUUUGACGGCUUCAUAUGAGCCAAACUAUAAAACAAUAAGGUUGCGUCCAUCAAAAGAGCAACAACUGGAGCAAGACAUAUGGCGUUGGGGUAUAAUGCUUGGUAAACUACCACGUUCUCCCUGUUCUUUCCAAGUAACUUCUGUCAUUUGCGAUCAGUUUGCUUUUACUACUGGUCAGUCUGUUCUUGUGUUGAUUAAUUCGUUGGGCAUGUAGACGCUAAGAUUAAGAUUAUCUAGUCAAGUUUGCCAAUUAUAGUAGUAAUACAGAAACACUCCAAAAGCUACUGUAAAAAAAAGCACUCCAAAAGCUCCAAGCUGUAAGAGUCGCAUCUUAGCACAAUCGGCACUUAGUUUGCAUGGAUAUUCUGCUUAGGUCCACAAAACAAAGAAGUCACUGUUUUGUAAGUUACGUGCAGGUUACAUUAACUGUGGUUUCCAAGGAUAAGACAUGUCAUGUGAGGUCAUCAAACUUGCAUAAACUAGGCCCAAGUGAAGCACCAUGCUGCUUGAGCUGUAUUUAUGCCAUUUAGAUUUGAUACCAUGCCAGUUUAACUUCAACAGUGUCUAAACCUUUACAGAUCUGAUAGCAUGUUGCUUUAACAGUAUGUACCUUUGAAUGCAUCUUAUGAGAGAUUAAUUACCCAGCAGUCCCUCUUUUUAUGCAUAUGAAGUUAGAUGCUCAAACAAACUGCGCUUUACAACUAUUUGGCUUGAAAAUGGAUCCUGUGAAAUGUUUCUAAUUAAUUAAGAAGCCUGAAAUAUCACUUCAUGGGCUAGGCAUAGGCAAAUAUCAAUACAAUCAACUUGUUACCUAACUCAAUCAGUUACAAUAAAGAAUAACUCAAUAGUUUGUAGAAAACAGAUCAACAAACUGUCUUCCCUGUAUAUGAAUGUGUUGGGUUGUGUGUGUGUGUGUGGCCCAUAGGCCCACUAGUGUACAUAUAUAUUGUACCCAUACCUGUACCAAGUAAGAGAGAAUUCCAGAAUUUUCCCAAAAGAUAACAUGGUGUCAGAGCAUCAGGGGGAGGCGCUUGGUCCUGGAGGUCGCCGGCAGUAAAUCGGCGGCGUGGGGCGGAGCUCCGGCCUCUGGGGGCGUGAGUACAGGCGGAGAGUAAGUUCCAGGCAGGGGCAGACGGGCACCAGGCCCAGGCGGAGGAGUGCUGCCCAGGCGGAGGUGCUGUUGCAAGGUGUGCGGAAGUGCGGAGAUAGCGGUCGGCAACAAGGGCAAGUGCAGCAAGCUACGGCUGCGGAGGAGAAGCUGGUGAGGUGUGUCUCGUGAAGGAGAAGCUGCAGGUGUGGUGUGCAGCCAGGAGGGAGAGGCGCCCCUUGGAUUGGAUCUGGCUGUGUAUAGGGCAGGGGACGUUGUGCUGCUCAGGAAGAGGUAAGAUUUGGCAGCAGUGUACACACACGUGCAGGGAUUGGAAGCUCGUGUGGUGCUGCAUCUGAAAGUUUCAUUUCACUUGGUGAGGAGAAGAUUUGGGCAAGGGAGGAGUUGACUUCCUGUGAACAGAGUGAGGUGCAGUAGUGAAAUCAGCUGUUAGUGCUCCUCAUCUGCAAGUUCAAGGUGGAGCAACGAUGGGGGAAAACCAAGGAAUUGAGAAAGUGCUUGAGAAACUAGCUCAACUUAUUACGACAAAGGUGAGCGACGCAUCACCUUCAGGCAAUGCGAUUAUCGCUCAGCCGGAGUCGAUUCAGAAAAUAGAAUUGAUGCCGAAUGAAAUCAAAUUGGAGGGCGUCAAAAAUUAUUUGAGCUGGUCAAGGAGGGCAUUGCUGAUCUUGAAAACAAAGGGACUUGAGAGCUUUGUUAAUGGAGAAGCACUUAGCCAUUGGACAAGAAAUGUGCAGAAUGGAGGACUUAGAGUACUACCAAUUCCCUGAUUGUGGCAUGGAUAUUAAAUUCCCUAUCUCCAACCAUCGCUACAACAGUUGAGACAAUAUCAAGUGCAACUGAGGUAUGGAAAACUCUUUCAAAAUUGUACUCUGGGGAGGGUAAUGUGAUGUUGAUGGUUGAGGCAGAGGAGAAAGUGAGUGAUCUGAGGCAGGGGGAGCUUUGUGUGAUGGAGUAUGUUGCUGAGUUGCAACAUUUGUGGGCUGAUCUAGAUCACUAUGAUCCCCUUGAUUUACCUCAUGCAGAAUGCAUAUCCAAUAUGAAGGGGAGCCUUGGCGCAGUGGUAAAGCUGCCGCCUUGUGACCAUGAGGUCACGGGUUCAAGUCCUGGAAACAGCCUCUUACAGAAAUGUAGGGAAAGGCUGCGUACCCUUCCCCAGACCCUGCGCAAGCGGGAGCUACAUGCACUGGGGCUGCCCCUUUUUUUUAGAAUGCAUAUCCAAUAUGAAGAAGUGGAUUGAGCGCAGACGUGUGAUACAAUUUCUUAAGGGUCUCAACUCUGAAUUUGAGGGUCGGCGUGCUACUAUGUUCCAUCAGCCUACUCUCCCUACUUUGGAGGAAGCAAUAGCUGCUAUUGCACAAGAGGAGGUCAGGCUGAAGGUGAUGAAAAGCAAUAUAGUAACUCCAUCUCGACCCGCCUUCAUAGUAACCAGGAGCAAUGAGACCAGAGAGUGUUUCAAUUGUGGUGAGGUGGGACACUUGAGUCGUGAUUGUGAUGCCCCGCGCAAGCCAACCCGUGGGCGGGGGAGAGGAAAUGACCGAGGCCGGCCAAGAGGAUUUAGAGGUGGAGUUAGAGGUCGAGGAUAUAUGAUUGGCCACAAAGCAAAUGUGGCGGUCCAAGACGAGCAAUCGUAUGACAAAGUUCAGGUCUCCGCAAAAGAGUUAGAAGAGUUGAGGAAACUAAAAAAAAGGAUGGAGAGUAUGGGUGGUAAAGACCAAAGGGACUCCACAUUUGGUGAUUUUGCUCACUUUGCCAAUGCUAAUGAAGGUAAUUGUGCUCAUACAUCUACAUUAUCGCUAGUGUCACAACCAGAUUGGAUUCUGGACUCCAGUGCAUCUAAACAUGUCACGGGUACAUUGAAUGUGUUUGAGUCAUAUACUGAGUAUCCACCCACACAUAAAGAAACUAUACAAACAGCCGAUGGCACCUCACGGCCCAUUAAAGGUGUUGGUACAGUGCAAUGCACACCUCUUAUUAAACUUUCUUCAGUUUUGCAUGCUCCUGCUUUUCCAAUCAACCUUAUGUCAAUGAGUGCUUUGAUUGAUGACUUGGAUUGUCGGAUAACCGUUGACCGAAAAAUAUGUCUAAUUCAGGAGAGGCGAACAGGGAGGAAGCUUGGGACUGGAACCAGGCGUAAUGGGCUAUGGUACAUGGAUCAUGAGGUGCCAGAUAACGCAUUGUGUACGGUGCUGGCAGUAAUGAUGGGAGAGUGAUACGUGUAGUAAGGAGUGUGUUGAGGGGUUGGGGUAUUCUCCUUUCCUCCUCUCCCGCGACCGCGCCGCCCCCGCGGGCGGCCGGCCGCGCCCAGCCCUCUCCCCCGCGCGCCUCUCCCUCCCCCUUCCUCUCUGCCGCCGUCGCCGGCGCCCGCUGCNNNNNNNNNNNNNNNNNNNNNNNNNNNNNNNNNNNNNNNNNNNNNNNNNNNNNNNNNNNNNNNNNNNNNNNNNNNNNNNNNNNNNNNNNNNNNNNNNNNNNNNNNNNNNNNNNNNNNNNNNNNNNNNNNNNNNNNNNNNNNNNNNNNNNNNNNNNNNNNNNNNNNNNNNNNNNNNNNNNNNNNNNNNNNNNNNNNNNNNNNNNNNNNNNNNNNNNNNNNNNNNNNNNNNNNNNNNNNNNNNACGCGGCGGCGCGGCCUGGCGGCGCCCGCUCGGCCCAGAUCUGGGCCCUUCGGGCCCCAUCUGGGCCUGGGCGGGCCGGCGGUGGGGCGGGUCGGCUUCAUGGCUUCCGUGAGGCGGGGGAGAGACGAUGAGCGGCAGGGUGCUGGUGGCGCCAUCGCCGGCUUGCUGCAGCAUGACGGCGGGGCUUAGCGGGCCCGUUUCGGGCCUGGCCGGGCCAGGGGUGGCCUGGCAUGCCCUGCUGCCGCGUCCGGACGGCUACCGCGACGGUGCCGGAGGUUCUGGCCUCCCGCACGACGGCGGUGGAGGUGGUUCCCUCCCGUUCGGCUUUGGUGCUGCUUCUCCCUCCGCGGGGCGCUUCUCCCCGGUCCUCUUGGCCUCGUGUUGGUGUUCGCAGUGAGGCGACGUGGGUGAUGGCGCAAUCGCGAUGGCGCAUGGUGGUGGGCGGCGGUGUGGCUGGUCGGCUCCGGUCCGUGAGGCGGUGGGGAUUGGAGUUCGGGAGAAAUCCUUGCCGGUUUUCGGCCCGAUGCGGUGACACUUGCAGGUGCCAUCAUUCCUUCCUAGAGGGUGUCGGUGAUAUCCAUCCCCCACCUCCCUCCGCGUGCCGGGGAAACCCUAGGACAUGUUCGGACAGCAGCGUCGUCGGCGUCGCUUUCCUUCUUGGAGGUGCUGUUUUGUACGCGGUGGUCCGGAGCCUCGGGUUGUAGUGGUUUGGGUCUGGUGGGCGUUGCGGUGGCGGGUCAUCCACGCUCUGUCGAGCUGCCGUUGUUGACAUUUGCUUCUUCUUCUUUUUCUUUUGGGCUUGUUGUGCUGUUCGCCCCAGCGAUCCUGUAUCGGUGUUGGUUGCUUUGGAAUACAAAGCGGGGGGAAACCCUUUUUCGGUAAUGAUGGGAGAGAAAGAAGCUACAGUGAUGCUUUUUCAUUGUAGAAUGGAGCAUAUGUCUUUUGAUAAAAUGACUAAGGUCUUUCCUGAUGUAAUGUGUGGGGUGGAUAAGAACAAGCUUUUGUGUGAUGCUUGUGAGUUUGGCAAACACACAAGGACAUCUUAUGUGAGUAGAGGGAUUAGGAGUAUAUCUCCUUUUGUACUCAUUCAUUCAGAUGUGUGGACAUGUCCUGUUAUCUCUGUUAGUGGAAUGAAGUACUUUGUUACAUUUAUUGACCGUUACUCUCGCAUGACAUGGAUAUACCUUAUGAGGCACAAGGAUGAGGUGUUCAAGUGUUUUCUGGAUUUUUAUGCUUAUGUGAAAAAUCAAUUCAACACAUAGAUCCAGAUUAUUCGGACAGAUAAUGGGACAGAGUAUGUGAACAAGGAAUUUGGUUCUUUUAUGUCAUCACAUGGUAUAUUGCAUCAAACCUCAUGUCCAGAUACACCUCCUCAGAAUGGAGUGGCAGAAAGGAAAAAUCGUCACAUCUUGGAGGUGGCUCGAUCAUUGAUGUACACGAUGAAUGUGCCAAAAAAUUUGUGGAGUGAGGCUGUAAUGACAGCUACAUAUCUCAUCAACCGCAUGCCAUCCAAAGUGGUUGGGAUGAAGACUCCAUGUGAAAUGCUGCUAGGUGAGAACAAGUUUGUGGUCCCACCCAAAGUUUUUGGAUGCACUUGUUUUGUUAGGGAUCAUAGACCCUCGGUGGGGAAGCUAGAUCCACGUGCAGUGAAAUGCAUCUUUAUUGGAUACUCUUCUGGACAGAAAGGCUACAAGUGUUGGAGUCCUAGUGAGCGACGCACAUUUGUGAGCAUGGAUGUAACAUUUAGAGAAUUUGAGCCAUUUUAUGGUGAGAAGACUGACCUCAGCUCGUUGUUUGAUCUUGAAACCCCUCAUGUUGACGGUGAUGGUCAAAAGGGGGAGCAUUUACCAAAUACUGAGAACGAUGAAGUAAGGAGGUCAAAGGUAGUAAUUGGUUCCAUUCCAUGCCCAAUGAAUGAACCAACAUGUGAGAAAACAUGGAGAAGGGAAAAUGAAGAAAAAAAUCUACAAGUGUAUACAAGGAGAAAUACAAGGAAGGUGCUCACAGAGCAGCAACAACCCUUAGAGAUUGUUGAGAUCCAGCCUUCGGAGCAGCAGGUACAACCAACAGUACAACAAGGAGACCCUGAAAUAGUUGAAAUUAUUAAUCCCUCUAUGCCAACAACUGAUAUACCGUGUAGCACACCCGCUCCCCCUGGGACAGAUAGCUAUCGUGAAUUGCCAAUUGCCUUACGGAAAGGAACUCGGGCUAAGGCUGGAAAGCCUCCAUCAAGGUAUGGCUUUGAGCAUGACAUGAGCAACUAUGUUUCUUAUGAAUCAUUGUCCCCUGCAUAUAGAGCUUUUGUUGCAUCACUACAAUCAGUGGACAUUCCAAAAGAUUGGAAAACUGCAAAGCAGGACCCAAAAUGGCAUGAGGCCAUGAUGGAGGAGUUGAAUGCACUUGAAAAAAAAUAAAAGUUGGGAACUUGUACACCUUCCUAAAGGAAAAGAACUUGUUAGUUGUAAAUGGAUAUUCACGGUGAAGCAAAAUUCAGAAGGGAAGAUCAAAAGGUACAAGGCAAGACUAGUUGCCAGAGGAUACAGCCAAACUUACGGGAUUGACUAUGACGAGACAUUCGCACCGGUGGCAAAGAUGAACACCGUGAGGAUUCUAAUCUUGUGUGCAACUAAUUUUGGGUGGCCUCUGUAUCAACUAGAUGUUAAGAAUGCUUUCUUGCAUGGUGACCUACAUGAAGAGGUGUAUAUGGAGAUUCCACCUGGUUUCUCUACUCCUAGAACUGCGGGAAAGGUGUGCAAAUUGAGGAAGUCCUUGUAUGGGCUCAAGCAGUCUCCACGAGCGUGGUUUGAUAGGUUUAGGCAUGUUGUAUGUGAUAUGGGGUACAAGCAAUGCAAUGGUGAUCACACUCUAUUCUAUCGACACUCGGACUGUAGAAUUACAAUUCUUGCAAUAUAUGUGGAUGAUAUUAUAAUCACAGGAGAUGAUGAUGUGGAGAUAUUGCGACUGAAGAAGAACCUGAGCAAGGAGUUUGAGGUGAAAGAUCUUGGCCAACUUAGAUACUUCCUCGGGAUUAAAAUUGCAAGGUCUCCAAAAGGCAUAGUUCUCUCUCAAAGAAAGUAUGUUCUGGACUUACUUAGUGAUACGGGUAUGCUUGGAUGUCGGGCUGCAUCAACUCCUAUUGAUCAAAACCACAAGCUUUGUGCACAGGCAGGAGAAUCAGUGGAUAAGGAGAACUACCAAAGGCUUGUUGGGCGACUCCUAUACUUAUGCCAUGCACGGCCUGAUAUUGCCUAUGCGGUGAGUGUGGUAAGCAGAUAUAUGCAUGAUCCUAGAAGUGAACAUCUAGAUGCAGUACACCAUAUAUUACGCUAUCUAAAAGGUAGUCCAGGGAAGGGGUUAUGGUUUAAGAAGAAUGGCCAUUUGAAUGUAGAUGGCUACAGUGAUGCCGAUUGGGCGAGUUGUCUUGAUGACAGAAGAUCUACUUCAGGGUAUUGUGUGUUUGUUGGAGGCAACCUUGUGUCAUGGAGAAGUAAGAAGCAAUCAAUUGUAUCUAGAUCGACAGCCGAAGCAGAGUACAGGGCCAUGUCACUAGGCCUUAGUGAAAUGUUGUGGGUAAGAAAUCUUCUAUCAGAACUAAAAGUGCUGAGAAAGGGCCCUUUGAAGGUGUGGUGCGAUAAUAAAUCGGCUAUUAGCAUAGCCAACAACCCAGUCCAACAUGAUAGAACAAAGCAUGUGGAGAUUGAUCGCUUCUUUAUUAAAGGGAAACUCGAUGAGGGUAUAAUAGAAUUAAAGCAUGUAAGCUCAGAGAAUCAAGUGGCAGAUAGCCUAACUAAGGGUUUAGGAGCAAAGGAGUGUAAUUUGGCAUGUAACAAGAUGGGAAUGAUAGAUAUCUAUCAUCCAUCUUGAGGGGGAGUGUUGGGUUGUGUGUGUGUGUGUGUGUGGCCCAUAGGCCCACUAGUGUACAUAUAUAUUGUACCCAUACCUGUACCAAGUAAGAGAGAAUUCCAGAAUUUUCCCAAAAGAUAACAGAAUGUCCUAUUGUUUUCUUGUCCUUUUGCGCCAAUCUCAUUAUUUCUACGUGAAAAUAGAAGAACAAGAUCCUUGCUUUGGUUUUCUUGUCUCAAAUUUACUACGUAAAACUAGCAUAGUAGUGCAGCAUAUAUAAGUGGUUUAGAUCUUUGUGUGCCUGAUAGAUGCUUUCUUGGAGUUAUGUAUAUAUUUAUAAUGUAACCAGUUUACAUCAUACGCCUUUUUAGCCCAGAUAUUAAGGACCUCUUGAUCUGGGUCCACUCCUCUUUAAAAAUGCUACCAGUGAAUAGAAUAUCUGAAUAUUUCUUGGCCAGCAGAUCGGUGCAAGCUGAAUAUCUGUUUUCUCUCUCUUUUUUCUGAUAAAGGGGAUGUUUUAAUAUCAAGAUAUCUGUUUUCUCUUCACUGUAACUUUUAUAACUCUUGUGACCCAUGUAAAUUCCAUAACGCUUUAAACAGAGCCAAUUGUGUCGCAAAUCCUACGACUUGUGCCUCACCGCUGCACACCACAAUAGUUCUCCUGCUAUCAUUAUAUUCCACGUAUCAUGUCAUGCUGACAAUUUCUUUCGGACAGAACGACCACUGGAUCAUCAGGAGAGCCAAGGGCCAAGCCUGGACUGGAACCUCCAAGAAAGAACUAGCAUUCGCACUGAUCAACUAGCAAGAUGCAGAUUCAGAUUGCAUUACAAGCCUCCGAUGAAAUGAAUGGGAGAUGUUCGAUGGACAAAGACAAUACACCCCAAAGUUGUUACGCCCUCUGCCUUUUAUGAUGCAACAGCACAUCUACCAAUCAUGUGCACACGCAAUAGCGCUUUCAACAGGAGAUGGCAGCAUUAUCAUGCUUAGAGAUUAAGGAUGUGCCGCUGCUGCUACAAAAACAAAGGUGAGCACUGCACAUGUAGACGGUAUACUAAGCUGGCUUGACCACAUCAAUCUCUUGUAAUCUGCAAAAAGACCUUUUCUGUUAAGAAUACGAUAUAUUCUUGGAGGGUUAGAGACUAAUAUUGUGGGCUAAGCUUUGUAUGCUUCGUUUGUGACGCCCGAGAAAACAAAAACUUUGCCUUUUCUUCUUCUUUCCCUUUUUCUAACUCUUGCCCACAGGUCACUGCUUGUCUGUUUGCCAUCUUCUUUGGAGGCAGACAAGAGAAACAAGCCUAAAACAAAAAUGUACCACAUUUACUAUGAAACUUAUGGAUUCAUAUUUCG